AUGUCGCAAGACCAAAGUGGGGGACCUUCGGGCCUCAUGCCAUCAGAUGUGCCCAGAUGGGAUUAGCUAGUAGGUGGGGUAACGGCUCACCUAGGCGACGAUCCCUAGCUGGUCUGAGAGGAUGACCAGCCACACUGGAACUGAGACACGGUCCAGACUCCUACGGGAGGCAGCAGUGGGGAAUAUUGCACAAUGGGCGCAAGCCUGAUGCAGCCAUGCCGCGUGUGUGAAGAAGGCCUUCGGGUUGUAAAGCACUUUCAGCGGGGAGGAAGGCGAUAAGGUUAAUAACCUUGUUGAUUGACGUUACCCGAAGAAGAAGCACCGGCUAACUCCGUGCCAGCAGCCGCGGUAAUACGGAGGGUGCAAGCGUUAAUCGGAAUUACUGGGCGUAAAGCGCACGCAGGCGGUCUGUCAAGUCGGAUGUGAAAUCCCCGGGCUCAACCUGGGAACUGCAUUCGAAACUGGCAGGCUAGAGUCUUGUAGAGGGGGGUAGAAUUCCAGGUGUAGCGGUGAAAUGCGUAGAGAUCUGGAGGAAUACCGGUGGCGAAGGCGGCCCCCUGGACAAAGACUGACGC
rnacentral:rRNA from 1 species